rnacentral:rRNA from 1 species
UACGUAGGGUGCGAGCGUUAAUCGGAAUUACUGGGCGUAAAGGGUGCGCAGGCGGCGUCGCAAGUCAGGUGUGAAAUCCCCGGGCUUAACCUGGGAACUGCAUUUGUGACUGCAUAGCUAGAGUACGGUAGAGGGGGAUGGAAUUCCGCGUGUAGCAGUGAAAUGCGUAGAUAUGCGGAGGAACACCGAUGGCGAAGGCAAUCCCCUGGACCUGUACUGACGCUCAUGCACGAAAGCGUGGGGAGCAAACAGG